CUCAGAUCAGCGUGAACCACGUGGGUCUCUGCUCCCUGAUCUGUUUCUUAAGACUUUCAGCUUCAUCGCGGAGUUUCUCUCGGUUUGUGGGCUCAUCUAAAGGGGUAAACUACGUCUAUAUACUUUUUGUGUCCCAGCUGAGUAACAGCAGAAGAGUCUGGUGGAGCAACAGAGGAACAAUUUCAGCCAUUUGGACUCAGCUCACCCACUACAGAGGAAACAAUGUCUUUAACACAAAAGGACCAACAUGGAGGGAGAAGUCAGCGCUCUCAGGAGGCCGACAAACCUCGCAGAAGAAAGGGAAAGAAAACCUACAGCUGUGAUGAGUGUGGGAAGGAUUUUUCCCGGACGGACAGCCUAAAAACACACCAACUCAUCCACAGUGGAGUUAAACCUUACAGCUGUGAAUUGUGUGGAAAGUCUUUUUACCUGGCUCGAAUCUUAAAAAAACACCAAAUCAUCCACAGUGAAGUUAAACCUUACAGCUGUGACUUGUGUGGAAAGUCUUUUACUGAGGCUGGAAGCUUAAAAAUACACCAAAUCAUCCACAGUGGAGUUAAACCUUACAGCUGUGACUUGUGUGGGAAGGAUUUUGCCCGGGCUCAAGGCUUAAAAAUACACCAACUCACCCACAGUGGAGUUAAAGCAUACAGCUGUGACUUGUGUGGAAAGUCUUUUACCCGGGCUGAAAGCUUAAAAUCACACAAACGCAUCCACAGUGGAGUUAAACCUUACAGCUGUGACUUCUGUGGAAAGUCUUUUACCCACUCUCAAACCUUUAAAACACACCAAAGCGUCCACAGUGAAGUUAAACCUUACAGCUGUGACUUGUGUGGAAAGUCUUUUUCCCUGGCUGGAAACUUAAAAACACACCAACUCAUCCACAGUGGAGUUAAAGCACACAGCUGUGAGUUGUGUGGUAAAGCUUUUACUCAAAAUUGCGACUUACAGAAGCAUCUAGUUACCCACUCUGGAAUUAAGGCGUACAGCUGCGACUUUUGUGGAAAAAGUUUCAGCGACAAACACUACCGAAAUAGUCACCGUCGGAUUCACACUGGAAAUGAUCUUUACUGCUGUGAUCAGUGUGGGAAACUAUUUAUAAAAGCUGCACAGUUAAAACUACACAUGUUUAGCCACACUGAGGAGCGACCUUAUAAAUGUGACCUGUGUGAGAAGACUUUUAAAUCUCCACAUCACCUGAAAAACCACCGAAAGUAUCACACCAGAAAAUAACUCUACAAGUGCAGUUACUGUGAGGAUGUAUUCAAUUUUUAUCUUGUAAUUGUAAC